AUUGAACGCUGGCGGCAUGCCUAACACAUGCAAGUCGAACGAUAACUUAGGGUAUCGUGGUGCUUUGCUGCGUAACGCCUGGGAACCUACUAUUGGGUUCGGAACUACCCCCUGAAGGGGGUGAAAUACCCGGAUCAUGAUUUAGUACCGCAGAUUUGCCGCCUUUGGAAGGGCCGGAGUUGGUUUAGCUUGUUCGUAGGGUAAAACCAUAUCAGGGUGGCGAUCUAUAGCUGGUAAGAGAGGAUGAUCAGCCACACUGGGACUGAGACACGGCCCAGACUCCUGCGGGAGGCAGCAGUGGGGAAUAUUGGACAGUGGGCGAAAGCCUGAUCCAGCAAUGCCGCGAGAGUGAUGAAGGCCUGAGGGUUGUAAAUCUCUUUUACCCGGGAUGAUAAUGACGGUACCGGGAGAAUAAGCACCGGCUAACUCCGUG
rnacentral:rRNA from 1 species